rnacentral:rRNA from 1 species
UUUCGCAAUGCCCGAAAGGGUGACGAAGCGACGCCGCGUGCGGGAAGAAGGCCUUCGGGUUGUAAACCGCUGUCGGGAGUUAAGAAAUGCAAGGAUGUUAAUAGCGUUCUUGCUUGACUAAGGCUCCGGAGGAAGCCACGGCUAACUCUGUGCCAGCAGCCGCGGUAAUACAGAGGCGGCAAGCGUUGUUCGGAAUUAUUGGGCGUAAAGAGCACGUAGGCGGCUAUGUAAGUCGGUUGUGAAAACCUUCCGCUCAACGGAAGAACAGCAUCCGAUACUGCAUAGCUUGAGUGCGGGAGGGGAGAGUGGAACUUCUGGUGGAGCGGUGAAAUGCGUAGAUAUCAGAAGGAACGCCGGCGGCGAAAGCGACUCUCUGGCCCGCAACUGACGCUGAGUGUGCGAAAGCUAGGGGAGCAAACGGGAUUAGAUACCCCGGUAGUCCUAGCCGUAAACGAUGGGCACUAAGUAGAGGGGUUUU